GCAGGUUUAGCUCAGUUAGGUAGAGCACCUGACUUACAUUCAGGGGGUCACAGGUUCAAACCCUGUAAUCUGCACCA
rnacentral:tRNA from 1 species